UACGGGGGGGCAAGGCGUUGUUCGGAAUUACUGGGCGUAAAGGGCUCGUAGGUGGCCAACUAAGUCAGACGUGAAAUCCCUCAGCUUAAACUGGGGACUGCGUCUGAUACUGGAUGGCUUGAGUUUGGGAGAGGGAUGCGGAAUUCCAGGUGUAGCGGUGAAAUGCGUAGAUAUCUGGAGGAACACCGGUGGCGAAGGCGGCAUCCUGGACCAACACUGACACUGAGGAGCGAAAGCCAGGGGAGCAAACGGG
rnacentral:rRNA from 1 species